GAGGUCCCGCCUGCCCGGUGACAAAGUUUAACGGCCGCGGUAUCCUGACCGUGCGAAGGUAGCAUAAUCACUUGUUCUUUAAAUAAGGACUAGAAUCAACGGCAUCACGAGGAUCUAACUGUCUCCUUUCUCUAAUCAGUGAAACUGAUCUCCCCGUGAAGAAGCGGGGAUAAAUAUAUAAGACGAGAAGACCCCAUGGAGCUUCAAACUCAGCAAUUACCCCUCAUAAAUUACCUUUUAUCUUUAAGGGCCUACUUGCUAGCUUUGGGUUGGGGUGACCGCGGAGUAGAAUUAAACCUCCACAAUGAAAAGAAUGAUAUCCUAAUCUAAAAGCCACACNNNUAAGAAUUAAAACAUUAACACACAGUGACCCGACUUGAUCGAUCAAUGAACCAAGUUACCCUGGGGAUAACAGCGCCAUCCACUUCAAGAGUCCUUAUCGACAAGUGGGUUUACGACCUCG
rnacentral:rRNA from 1 species